rnacentral:rRNA from 1 species
UACGAAGGGGACUAGCGUUGUUCGGAAUUACUGGGCGUAAAGCGCACGUAGGCGGAUUUGUUAGUCAGGGGUGAAAUCCCGGGGCUCGACCUCGGAACUGCCUUUGAUACUGCAAGUCUCGAGUCCGAUAGAGGUGGGUGGAAUUCCUAGUGUAGAGGUGAAAUUCGUAGAUAUUAGGAAGAACACCGGUGGCGAAGGCGGCCCACUGGAUCGGUACUGACGCUGAGGUGCGAAAGCGUGGGGAGCAAACAGG